rnacentral:lncRNA from 1 species
GUAUUUAUGUAUUGCCUAUUUCUCACAUUGCUUUAUUUAUUCGUGCACUUUUGAUGACCGCGUAUGUCUGUAGAUGCUUAGAAGCAGUUAAAUGUCUACUGGUUAAUGGUUAUGUCAAUGACGCAUGAGCAUCGUAAAAGACGAAAAGCUGUUCAGACUUCACGCCUUACAUCUUAUCCUGAUAUUUUCGACGCUCCUUGUUAUUUUGUCUGCUCAGUCACCUCUAUCUUCUCCUGCUUCUUUUGCCAAUGCAUGUAUAUCUUGUACCACCCGCACAGACACCCAAGUUGCGCCUAUCUGCUCGAACUGCAGGGAUUGUUGUUGCUGUUGAGUUUUGUUUUACGGCUCUUCUUCUUUUUUCUAAAUUUUCUUCCACUUGACAUUUCAUUCACUGACUACCAUUUUUAUGCAUUCGCCCAAAAUAUUAAAUUAUUUGUCCCGGGUUAGGAAUAUGUGUCGCACGUGCUGCAGCAUGCUGUCUAUUACGUUUGGCUCGUGCUCCAAAAAUAUUCGCGCUCUCGGCUAUUUGCUUCAAAAAAUUCAUUCGAUUUUGUUUCUCUCAGUGCUUUUGAAUCUGUCUCUCUUUCUCUCUCUCUCGUUCUUGCACUCUCUUUUGCAGUGGUAGCCUAUUUAAGUUUGUUGAGCUCUCGUUGUGUGCGCUCUCAUUUUUCCGCUCCGUAUCUCUUAUUUACGAAUGCAAUUUUGCUGCUGCGCCUAUUUUUGUUACUCAUACGUCAUACGUUUAAUAGCAAUUUAUGCUCCGUAUGCGGGUUUUGUAGCACAUUUACACCCUGUGUCGCCAGCGCGCUGCUUCUCUGAGCUAGCGGUCGUGCGACAUUUCGAGUCAGGGCGUCUGAGCAACCCCCAAAAAGUCAGUACCACUUCCGCUCUGCGUAACUUCCCUUACACUUGUUCGUUACACUACUACGUUUUGUUUACUCAGUGUGUCCUCGACAGGGGUUUGGGUUGGAUUGCCUGCGCUGUUCGUUUGACUUUGUGCGUUUAUCUUCGCUGCCGCUGGAGCUUUGGCUUCGUUGGCGUCGUUCGAAAACGGCUGCAACGACAUUUGCACAUCUCGUUGACCUCAUUUCGUGUCGUAGUUUCAACGCGUCCAGUCACUUCGCAGUAGCUUUGCGUUUACAACUUAUAUAGAAUCCUGUGCCAAUUUCUACUACACCAAGCGGUUAGCUAUCCGUCUACCGCUUUGCAUUGCAAUUUCGACGCUCAACGUGUGCACACGUGCCAACAACUAGGCGCCAAUAAUCACCUUAAUCAACGUCAAAGUUGUGUUUUAUCCGCACCAGGCAGUCAACACAUUUUUGUCGCGGUUCCGUUCACGAAAUUAAGUAGCUGCGGAUUGCGUUCUGUUUAACGGUGGUGUAUAUUUUUCUAGUCAGUGACUGCUAAAAUUGAGUGUGAAUGGUGCACGUAUGAGCUAGACUGUCGCUACGAAGCAACACUAAAGCAAGUAAAGCAAAACAAGUUCAAAGAAAAAAUCAAAAAUUAAAGUGUUGCGACAGUGAAAAGUAAUAUAAAUAAAUCGAUAGAAAUUUUAUGUGGCUUGUAUUGUUAAAUAUAUGCAUAUGUGUGCUCCAAUGAAUUAAUGAAAAAUAAAUUUAAAAAAUAAAAUUAAAUAAAAAUGAAUCUGCGCUGUUUGUGCUAAGCAAAUGUAAAGUGCAACAAAAUAAUUAACACCAAAAAAAGCAAUAAAUAAAUUAAGAAAAAAGUUUGUAAAGGGUAUCGAAGAAAUUUGCAUCGAUACCUGUGCUAUUUUGUACUCUCAAUUUUUCGCAGUGUAAUUUGAUUAAAUUUCAAGUUGUCGCGUACAAACUGCAUCGAGUUGGCCAACCAAUUGAACAACAACGUUAUAGGUAAGUCUCGUGAGAGUUUCCAUUUAAUAAAUUUAAUUCUACAAGUGAGUAUAAAAGGUACAGUAUUCAGUGUGGAGUAGGGUGUAUAUUUUUUUUUAUAUUAAACCUAUAUGUACAUACGUACAGUGACUUACAUAAGCGUUUAUAAAAAGCAGAUUGGCCACAUAUUUAUCUAUAUUCUUUAAGUUUCGAUGAACGUCCAUUAUUCUACAUAAUAUGUACAGUCAACGCCAAAAGAAAGU